CUUCCCUCUGGGGUGGGGUGGGUUCUGGUGGCCCUGUGUUCCCCUGCAGGAGGACCUCCUGAGGCUUCGGGCAGGAGCUGGUGCACACCUGGAGGAGAGUGCUGGUGAAUGGCAGGUGUGUGCCUCAGUGUCCUUGCUGCCAGGGUGUCAGCCCUGCUUCACCACUGGCCGUUUGUCUCUGUCCCCUCCACUGGCCUCUUGAAGCACAGAGACCCUCCGGUCAUCCUCUUCAGCGGUCCUCCCAGAGCUGUCCUCAGCAUGGCAGCCUCCACAGCCCCUGGGUGUCACCCCCGGUUUCGUGUCUGCCUCGGACUCCAGACCUGCCCCUCCCAGGCUGGCCCAGAUGGAUCCUCUACAGUGACUAACCCAAACCAGCACCAGGCAGGGACCCAAUAAACCUUUGUGAAUGGAGU
rnacentral:lncRNA from 1 species